AUGGUAUUGGGUUUUGAUGCAAGCUUCUUGAUCAAAGUAUCACGAGUUUGUUAUAUAAUCGCAAACAAAUUCUUUAAUGAGAGAGUGCAUUUAUGUAUUUUUAAUUUGAAAUAUUUGGUAUAACUCCAAUUACUCAGGUAUGAUCCAAUUCAAGGACAUUGCCAGGUAGGGAGUUUGACUGGGGCGGUACAUCUCUCAAAUAAUAACGGAGGUGUCCCAAGGCCAGCUCAGUGCGGACAGAAACCACACAUAGAGCAAAAGGGCAAAUGCUGACUUGAUCUCGGUGUUCAGUACACACAGGGACAGCAAAAGCUCGGCCUAUCGAUCCUUUUGGUUUAAAGAGUUUUUAACAAGAGGUGUCAGAAAAGUUACCAUAGGGAUAACUGGCUUGUGGCGGCCAAGCGUUCAUAGCGACGUCGCUUUUUGAUCCUUCGAUGUCGGCUCUUCCUAUCAUUGUGAAGCAAAAUUCACCAAGCGUUGGAUUGUUCACCCAUGCAAGGGAACGUGAGCUGGGUUUAGACCGUCGUGAGACAGGUUAGUUUUACCCUACUAAUGACAAAACGUUGUUGCGACAGCAUUCCUGCGUAGUACGAGAGGAACCGCAGGUACGGACCAAUGGCACAAUACUUGUUCGAGCGAACAGUGGUAUGACGCUACGUCCGUUGGAUUAUGCCUGAACGCCUCUAAGGUCGUAUCCGUGCUGGACUGCAAUGAUAAAUAAGGGGCAAUUUGCAUUGUAUGGCUUCUAAACCAUUAAAAGUUUAUUUUAUAAACGACAAUGGAUGUGAUGCCAAUGUUAUUUGUAACAUAGUAAAUUGGGAGGAUCUUCGAUCACCUGAUGCCGCGCUAGUUACUUAUUAAAACAUUAUUUAAUACAAUGACAAAGCCUAGAAUCAAUUGUAAACGACUUUUGUACAGCAGUGUUGUAAGUGGUUGAGCAGCUGCCAUACUGCGAUCCACUGAAGCUUAUCCUU
rnacentral:ncRNA from 1 species